GACGAACGCUGGCGGCGUGCCUAACACAUGCAAGUCGAGCGAUGAAGCUCCUUCGGGAGUGGAUUAGCGGCUGACGGGCGAGCACCACGUGGGCAACCUUCCUCAUAGAGAGGGAUAGCAUUGCGAAAGGAAGAUUAAUACCUCAUAAGAUCGUAUGUUCCCAUGAAAUGACAAUAAAAGGAGAAAUCCGCUGUGAGCUGGACCCGCGUCGCAUUAGCUAGUUGGUAAGGUAAUGGGUUACCAAGGCGACGAUGCGUAGCCGACCUGAGAGGGUGAACGGCCACAUGGGGACUGAGACACGGCCCAGACUCCAACGGGAGGCAGCAGUGGGGAAUAUUGCACAAUGGGGGAAACCCUGAUGCAGCAACGCCGCGUGAGUGAUGGCGGUCUUCGGAUUGUAAAACUCUGUCUUUGGGGACGAUAAUGACGGUACCCAAGGAGGAAGCCACGGCUAACUACGUGCCAGCAGCUGCUGUAAGAC
rnacentral:rRNA from 1 species